rnacentral:rRNA from 1 species
UUCUAUAAGAAAUAAUUUAUAGUAAAGUCUGCUCAAUGAAAUUUUAAUAGCCGCAAAAUAGUGCUAAGGUAGCAUAAUCAUUUGUCUUUUAAAUGAAGACUAGUACAAAUGACUUAACAUUUUAAUUCAUUUUACUAAUAUAAUAAUCAAAAUUUACAAAAAUGUAAAAAACCAUUUAAAAAAUAAAAAGACGACAAGACCCUAUUAAACUUAACUUCAGUUUUAACUGGGGCAGUUAAAUAAUUAAUAUUUUAUUUAAUAAUAUAUAUUUAUAUAUCUAUAUAAUAUAAUAAUUCAGUUACUAUAGGGAUAACAGCACAAUAAUAUUCUAAAGAUCUUAUUACAAAUAUAUAUAUUAUGACCUCGAUGUUGAAUUAAUAACCUAAUUAAAGCAAAAUUUAAAUAAGGAAGUCUGUUCGACUUUUAAAAAGUUACA